rnacentral:SRP_RNA from 1 species
CGGAGGUUGGUGCGGGCGAGUUGCUUGCUGAACCCGGUCAGGUCAGAGAUGAAGCAGCCGUAGGUGAGAUUUACCCGGGUCGUGCCGGCCUCUUUUU